rnacentral:tRNA from 1 species
GCUCAGUUGGUUAAGUGUCUGACUCCUGAUUUCAGUUCAGGUCAUGAUCUCAUGGUUUGUGGGUUCAAGCCCCACGUUGGGCU